rnacentral:rRNA from 1 species
CAGUAGCCACGGGAAUACAGAGGGUGCGAGCGUUAAUCGGAUUUACUGGGCGUAAAGCGUGCGUAGGCGGCUUUUUAAGUCGGAUGUGAAAUCCCUGAGCUUAACUUAGGAAUUGCAUUCGAUACUGGGAAGCUAGAGUAUGGGAGAGGAUGGUAGAAUUCCAGGUGUAGCGGUGAAAUGCGUAGAGAUCUGGAGGAAUACCGAUGGCGAAGGCAGCCAUCUGGCCUAAUACUGACGCUGAGGUACGAAAGCAUGGGGAGCAAACAGGAUUAGAUACCCCCGUAGUCCCUGUCUCUUAUAC